GAGAGAGACGGCUCAGCAGUUAAGAGCACUGGCUGUUCUUUCAGAGGACCCGGGUUCAAUUCCCAGCACUCUCA
rfam:Cricetulus griseus cell line CHO-K1, whole genome shotgun sequence.